UAUCCGGAAUUAUUGGGCGUAAAGGGCUCGUAGGCGGUUCGUCGCGUCCGGUGUGAAAGUCCAUCGCUUAACGGUGGAUCCGCGCCGGGUACGGGCGGGCUUGAGUGCGGUAGGGGAGACUGGAAUUCCCGGUGUAACGGUGGAAUGUGUAGAUGUCGGGAAGAACACCAAUGGCGAAGGCAGGUCUCUGGGCCGUCACUGACGCUGAGGAGCGAAAGCGUGGGGAGCGAACAGGAUUAGAUACCCUGGUAGUCCACGCCGUAAACGGUGGAUGCUGGAUGUGGGGGCCAUUCCACGGUCUCCGUGUCGGAGCCAACGCGUUAAGCAUCCCGCCUGGGGAGUACGGCCGCAAGGCUAAAACUCAAAGAAAUCGACGGGGGCCCGCACAAGCGGCGGAGCAUGCGGAU
rnacentral:rRNA from 1 species